UCCCCAAAACGACCCCAUAACUGUCCCCAUGACCCUAUAAAUGCCCCAAAACCCCCAUAAAUGACCCCAUAAGUGCCCAAUGUCCCUAUAAAUGACCCCAUAACUGUCUCCAUGACCCUAUAAAUGCCCCAAAAAACCCAUAAAUGACCCCAUAAGUGCCCAAAAGACCCCAUAAACGACCCCAAAAGUCCCCGAAACGACCCCAUAAGUGUCCCAGUGACCCCAUAAGUGCCCCAAAUGCCCCAUAAACGACCCCAUAAGUGUCCCAGUGACCCCAAAAGUCCCCAAAACGACCCCAUAAACGUCCCAGUGCCCCCAUAACUGCCCCCAGGACCCCAAAAAGUCCCCAAAUGACCCCAAAAACGCCCCUAGCACCGUCCCCGUGACCCCAAAAGUCCCCAAAACACCCCAAAACUGACCCCAUAACCCCCUCAGCGCCCCUUUUUCCCCCCAAACCCGGUCCCUAGGGCUCCGUACUGGUUUAUACUGGUUCGUACUGGUUUAUACUGGUUCUUACUGGUUUAUACUGGUUCUUACUGGUUUGUACUGGUGCAGGACGCUGGGGGUGGCGGACGGGGCGGGGGCGGUGGCGGCCGUCAGCGUCUUCAACGCGGCCCCAAACUGGGGGGUACUGGUGGGGGACGCCCUGGGGCUGCCCGAGCCCCGCCUGCGCCAGCACCUGGUGCAGCACCAGGGGAAGACGUUCUCCUUCCUGGCCGUCCGGGUCCCGUCCCCGCUGGCUCUGGUGGUCAACGGGCGCCGCCCCCCCCCCUCGGCCGCCGCCCCCCCCCGGCUGCACUGCUCCAACCCCCCCAAUUAAACCCUUCGGUAGCCCUUCAUUAGCGCCUCCGGUAAUUAGUGACGUCAUUAAUGAGCGCCCCGCCCCCUGCCCGGCUGGGCGGGGCCUGGGAGGAGGGGGACGGCCCCCUGGGGGCGGCCAUGUUGGGUGUGGCAGCGGGGGGGGUGUGGGCGCCGCCAUGUUGGGUGUGGCACAGACGCACGGGGGCGGCCAUCUUGGGGAGGGGGUGUCUUAAUGGAGGCGGCCAUCUUGGGUGUGGCGCCCCCCCCCCAAGCAGUCAGCCAUCUUGGGUGGGGCCGCCACCAUGGAGGCGGCCAUCUUGGGUGUGGCCCAACCUGUCAGAGCCCGCCAUGUUGGGUGUGGCCAGGACACAUGAAGGCGGCCAUGUUGGGUGGGUGUGUCUUAAUGGAGGCGGCCAUCUUGGGCGUGGCAAUCACCAUGGGGACCGCCAUCUUGGGUGCGGCCCAGGGGCAUGGAGGCGGCCAUCUUGGGUGUGGCACAACCCGCCAUGUUGGGUGUGGCCGAGUCACAGGAAAGGCAGCCAUCUUGGGUGGGCGUGUCCCCGCUGCAGGCGGCCAUCUUGGGCGUGGCCGGCGUCACGGGGGCGGCCAUUUUGGGCGUGGCCGACGCCCUGGGGGCGGCCAUCUUGGGCGUGGCGCCGGCGGCCACGUUGGCGGAGGCGUCGCCGUUAAAAAGCGUCCGUCCUUUAAUUAAU
rnacentral:lncRNA from 1 species